rnacentral:lncRNA from 1 species
ACCCUUAUUCAGAUCAUCUUUGAUAAAGUGUAGAGGAGAAAAGGAUUCCAAAUGUUUUUAUUUUAACCACAUAAAUAUAAAAUGCAUCAGCAAGGAGAAGACCCACAGUACUUUCACACAGUGUGAAGUUACACUAAUACACAAUAUUUAAGAAAAUAUCUAGAAUAAACAAUACUAUCUGUGAAUGAUAAAAUAGACACCAUUUAAGCUUUUCAAGGAAAAAAAUGCUUUCUGAUUAAGGCUUCAAUUUAUUCCUACUUACAUUUAAGGGAGCCUUAAUUACAAAUAAUUAAUAUUUACUAACCAACUUGUACACACUUCCUGCUAUGUUACAAGAAAGCAAGGUGGCAAUGAUUCCAAAUUAUUAUUCUUAAUACAAAGCAAUCAGCAUGCUACAUCUUUCUCCUAGAAAUAAGAGUUAAAAGACACAGUGCAGGUGCAGGAUGAAGCAAAGAAAGCAUCACUCCCAUACUUACAAAGAGAGGACAGUAAUUUAUUUUUUUUUUAUUUUAUUUUAGGGAACACAGAUCUAUUACAAUGAAGUCCUAAGUUUCUAUGUCUGAGCACAGACUAAAUUUAAAAUAUUAAAACCCCACUCAAUAGAAAAAUAAAAGUAGUCCUGUACCCAGGGUUUGUCCUUAAAAGAAACCAGCCAAGACAUCUUCAGACCUCAUGAGCCUGAUGUGGACACAAAGUUAUAUGCCAGGGAUUCCUGCAGAAUCAGGAGAUCGAAAUUAAUGACAAGUAUCUCUGUAAAUCUUGUAUGUUACUGGGAUGCUGCUGGAUUUAAGACAAACUUGAUUGCAGGAAACAAUGAAGCCUUUUUCCAAAAUUCUUUGUGUCCAAGAGACUGCACAUGAUCCAUCACUGUUCCAGGGUGGUUUACUCACAGCAUCGUGGUGGGUCCUCAAUAUCAACUACAAGCCGUGGUUCCAAAUAACGUUAAUGUUGUAUUACCUUUCAUUACACUAACAUUCAUAUUGCAGUGUACAGGUGAAUUUAUGAUGUGAUAACGUUUGUUAUUAUGGAUGGGAUCUUUUCAAUUUUAUCCAUUCUAAAAUCUGGAAAACUGUGCAUUUAUUCCCUUUUCUUCUUGUGACUAGUUCAGUGAAAUGAUGCAUUCUAAAAACUGAAAUAAGACAAAUACGAAAAACUAUUUAUUUUUGUGACAGUCCAAACUGUCACAGGAAAGAAUGUUAUGAAUGUAUGACUAAAUAUUUGUGAAAAGUUUUAUUACUCUAUUAAUAAACAACUAUUACUUAAUGCUGCUGUGGUCUAC